rnacentral:lncRNA from 1 species
GUUAACAUACAGUGAGAAAUAAUGUAUGUAUUAAGGAGUGUUUGUUCAAUAUCAGGAGCCUUUGUUUUUCUGCUGAUAAUCAGCUUCACCUUCAUUGCACAGAUUCCUCCAGUCAAUGCAGGUUGGUAUAUAUUUUUCCUCACACACAGAAUAUAUAAAUUGUUGUGACAGUUUAACAACAUUCCGUGAUCUUGCUUAAUCUGCAGAUCUGGUAAUGAGAAAAUUGGGUCCUAUGGCAAGUCCACCGCCUCCACCCAUUGUUGGCACGCCACGGAAGCCUCUACCACCUCGUAAUAGUCAACCUCGUCAUCCUCCAUCCAUACCCUAAGGGUUCAUGAUCUUCGCAAGUUGCAAUAUAUUACAAUAUAUUAUCACGAUGAGAGAUAUAAAUGAGUUCAAAUAGUAUGAAAUAAAUGAGAUUCUGAGGUUAUGCAAGUAUGCAACUGUGUAGUUGACAGCAGCUUAAAGGAACAAUUAAGGAUUUAUCUAUACCAAUAAUCCAUUUUCUUUUUAGUAACUAUAACGAACGAUUCAUAGUUCA